UGGGGAAUAUUGCUCAAUGGGCGCAAGCCUGAUGCAGCCAUGCCGCGUGUAUGAAGAAGGCCUUCGGGUUGUAAAGUACUUUCAGUCGGGAGGAAGGUGGUAAGGUUAAUAACCUUGGCAAUUGACGUUACCGACAGAAGAAGCACCGGCUAACUCCGUGCCAGCAGCCGCGGUAAUACGGAGGGUGCAAGCGUUAAUCGGAAUUACUGGGCGUAAAGCGCACGCAGGCGGUUGAUUGAGUCAGAUGUGAAAUCCCCGGGCUUAACCCGGGAAUUGCAUCUGAUACUGGUCAGCUAGAGUCUUGUAGAGGGGGGUAGAAUUCCAUGUGUAGCGGUGAAAUGCGUAGAGAUGUGGAGGAAUACCGGUGGCGAAGGCGGCCCCCUGGACAAAGACUGACGCUCAGGUGCGAAAGCGUGGGGAGCAAACAGG
rnacentral:rRNA from 1 species